UACGGAGGGUGCAAGCGUUAUCCGGAUUCACUGGGUUUAAAGGGUGCGUAGGUGGGCAGGUAAGUCAGCGGUGAAAUCUCCGAGCUUAACUCGGAAACUGCCGUUGAUACUAUUUGUCUUGAAUAUUGUGGAGGUAAGCGGAAUAUGUCAUGUAGCGGUGAAAUGCUUAGAUAUGAACAUAGAACACCAAUUGCGAAGGCAGCUUACUACACAAACGAUUGACGCUGAGGCACGAAAGCGUGGGGAUCAAACAGGA
rnacentral:rRNA from 1 species